GACGAACGCUGGCGGCGUGCUUAACACAUGCAAGUCGAACGGAAAGGCCCUGCUUUUGUGGGGUGCUCGAGUGGCGAACGGGUGAGUAACACGUGAGUAGCCUGCCCUUGACUUUGGGAUAACUUCAGGAAACUGGGGCUAAUACCGGAUAGGAGCUCCUGCUGCAUGGUGGGGGUUGGAAAGUUUCGGCGGUUGGGGAUGGACUCGCGGCUUAUCAGCUUGUUGGUGGGGUAGUGGCUUACCAAGGCUUUGACGGGUAGCCGGCCUGAGAGGGUGACCGGCCACAUUGGGACUGAGAUACGGCCCAGACUCCUACGGGAGGCAGCAGUGGGGAAUAUUGCACAAUGGGCGGAAGCCUGAUGCAGCAACGCCGCGUGCGGGAUGACGGCCUUCGGGUUGUAAACCGCUUUCGCCUGUGACGAAGCGUGAGUGACGGUAAUGGGUAUAGAAGCACCGGCUAACUACGUG
rnacentral:rRNA from 1 species